UACGUAGGUGGCGAGCGUUAUCCGGAAUGAUUGGGCGUAAAGGGUGCGUAGGCGGGCUUGCAAGUCAGAAGUGAAAUCUAUGGGCUUAACCCAUAAACUGCUUUUGAAACUGUAAGUCUUGAGUGAAGUAGAGGUAGGCGGAAUUCCCGGUGUAGCGGUGAAAUGCGUAGAGAUCGGGAGGAACACCAGUGGCGAAGGCGGCCUACUGGGCUUUAACUGACGCUGAGGCACGAAAGCGUGGGUAGCAAACAGG
rnacentral:rRNA from 1 species